GAUGAGAACGUAGCGAAAUGCGAUAAGUAAUGUGAAUUGCAGAAUUCAGUGAAUCAUCGAAUCUUUGAACGCACAUUGCGCCCCUUGGUAUUCCGGGGGGCAUGCCUGUUCGAGCGUCAUUAUAACCCCUCAAGCUCAGCUUGGUGUUGGGGCCUGCCAACUGGCAGCCCUUAAAAUCAGUGGCGGCGCCAUCUGGCUCUAAGCGUAGUAAUUUCUCUCGCUAUAGGGUCCCGGUGGAUGCUUGCCAACAACCCCCAAUUUUCUAUGGUUGACCUCGGAUCAGGUAGGGAUACCCGCUGAACUUAAGCAUAUCAAUAAGCGGAGGA
rnacentral:misc_RNA from 1 species